CUGCGGAAGGAUCAUUAUUGAAAUAAACAUGAUGAGUUGUUGCUGGUUCUCUAGAGAGCAUUGUGCACGCUUGGUCAUCUUUAUAUCUCCACCUGUGCACAUUUUGUAGACCUGGAUCACUCUCUGAAAUGCUAAUCAGCAUUUCAGGUUGGAGGAAUUUGACUUUGUUGUCUUUCCUUGCAUUUCUAGGUCUAUGUUAUUUUUCAUAUAAUCUUAUUGUGAUAUAAUGGGCCCUAUAUAAUAUAAACUUAUACAACUUUCAGCAACGGAUCUCUUGGCUCUCGCAUCGAUGAAGAACGCAGCGAAAUGCGAUAAGUAAUGUGAAUUGCAGAAUUCAGUGAAUCAUCGAAUCUUUGAACGCACCUUGCGCUCCUUGGUAUUCCGAGGAGCAUGCCUGUUUGAGUGUCAUUAAUAUAUCAACCUCUUUAAAUUUUUGAGAGUGUUUGGAUGUGGGGGUUAUUUUGCUGGCCUUCUCCAAGGUCAGCUCCCCUGAAAUGUAUUAGCGGAACAAUUUGUUGACCGUUCAUUGGUGUGAUAGCAUAUCUACGCUAUUGACGUGAAGCAAGUUCAGCUUAUAACAGUCCAUUGACUUGGACAAUUACUCUAUUUAUAAUGUGACCUCAAAUCAGGUAGGACUACCCGCUGAACUUAA
rnacentral:rRNA from 1 species